UUUCCGUAGGUGAACCUGCGGAAGGAUCAUUAUCGUAUAACGGUGGUUCUAGGGCUGCCGCUCACCCGUAUGGUCACGCACGCACGAUUGCUUUGGCACGUCCGUCUCACCCCUCUGUCCACGACCUCGUUACUGCCCCUUUGGCUUGUUCUGGGCGGGGCUUACGUUUUUACACUCACUUUGUAUGCGUUGCAGAAUGUAUGUUUAGUUUUUAAGUAAAAGCAAUAAUUACAACUAUCAACAACGUAGCUCUUGGCUCUCGCAACGACGCAGAA
rnacentral:misc_RNA from 1 species